AAACGGGUCAUUGAAGACAAAUGAAGCAUAUGGCAGCAACAAUCAUUGCUUCAGCAAUGACAUGAUCAUGCUGCGAUGGCAGGCCCACCUAUGCACAUGUUUCAAUGGGCUAAACCUCAUUAAGAUUUUUUAGUCUUCAUUUUUAUAAGAGAAAUACGGUGGGAUUACCCACCCUAAUCCCGUAAAAUGCAUUCUUUUUAAAAGAGAGAUGCCCACCAACU
rnacentral:lncRNA from 1 species